rnacentral:rRNA from 1 species
GACGAACGCUGGCGGCGUGCUUAACACAUGCAAGUCGAACGGAAAGGCCCUGCUUUUGUGGGGUGCUCGAGUGGCGAACGGGUGAGUAACACGUGAGUAACCUGCCCUUGACUUUGGGAUAACUUCAGGAAACUGGGGCUAAUACCGGAUAGGAGCUCCUGCUGCAUGGUGGGGGUUGGAAAGUUUCGGCGGUUGGGGAUGGACUCGCGGCUUAUCAGCUUGUUGGUGGGGUAGUGGCUUACCAAGGCUUUGACGGGUAGCCGGCCUGAGAGGGUGACCGGCCACAUUGGGACUGAGAUACGGCCCAGACUCCUACGGGAGGCAGCAGUGGGGAAUAUUGCACACUGGGCGGAAGCCUGAUGCAGCAACGCCGCGUGCGGGAUGACGGCCUUCGGGUUGUAAACCGCUUUCGCCUGUGACGAAGCGUGAGUGACGAUAAUGGGUAAAGAAGCACCGGCUAACUACGUG